UGGCGGCCUCGGGUCCAUCCCGAGGCCACGCCCGUCUGAGGGUCGGCGAGUCAGACAAGCUAUCGCCUCCUUUUUCUCCCCCUCCGGGGGAGAAAAUUUGGCCAGCAGGUUCGGCGUCAGAAAGCGCAGUUCCCCUUGUCUCGUCGCUCCGGAAGGACGUCGAGGCGGGGGACUCGCUGGAUGGGGUCGGUACCGUGGAGGCGCCUUGGGUUUUCGCGGAUCCCUUUGUGCGAUCCCCGUGACUUUAAGUGCACGCCGCGCCGUCCGCAGUCUCGCACGGUUCUUCUCUCGGGGGUGCCAGGAACAGCUCUGGCGGAAAUGACGCCGAAGCUCUCGGUGUCAUCUCUGGUCUUCCCGGCGCGCCCCCCGCGUGAUUUACCGUCGAGGCCGCAAUAUCAUUCCUCUGGACUUGACCGACGCCGCCGCCGACGUGCUGGACUCGGAUUGAUCGGAUAUCAUCGAGCCGACGGCGUGCUGGACGGCGGAGGUUUGGGUGACAAGAGGUUUUGGUUGGCGACGACGCCCCUGGUUAUGCGAAGCAGGGCACGACUUCGUUCGCUGCGCUGCUUUUCACAUAUCCGACCUCAGAUCGGACGAGAUUACCCGCUGAAUUUAAGCAUAUAACUAAGCGGAGGAAAAGAAACUAACAAGGAUUCCCCCAGUAACGGCGAGUGAAGCGGGAAUAGCCCAGCACCGAAUCCCUCAGUGUCAUGCUGACGGGAACUGUGGUGUGUGGGACGCCACCAGUCGCAUCAAAGGGCGCCGAAGUCCUCCUGAUCGGGGCUUCACCCAGAGCGGGUGUAAGGCGUUUGCGGGUGCCUCUCUGUGCGGCCGCGAGCGUCUCAGGAGUCGGGUUGUUUGGGAAUGCAGCCCAAAGCGGGUGGUAAACUUUAUCUAAGGCUAAAUACGUGCACGAGUCCGAUAGCGGACAAGUACCGUGAGGGAAAAUUGAAAAGAACUUUGAAGAGAGAGUUCAAGAGUACGUGAAACCGCCCAGAGGUAAACGGGUAGAUCCGCAAAGUCGGCCCGCGGAAUUCAGCGCGGCGCGCAGACCUGGGCUGCAGCGGUUCGGGAUCCCUGGGACCCAGCCGCGGCGUCGUUCGGGUCUCCGCCGCGUGCACUUUCCGCGGGCAGAGUGCCACAACCGGUUCGGCGGCGGCUACAAGCUUGGUGGGUUGUAGGUGGGGGCGCUCGCGUCCCUACCAGCCCUCCUUUCGCGAGCCGCCGGCCGGACCGAGGGAAAAGCCGCGCGCCUCGAGGCCACCCUCCCCUCCCGGUGAGUUCGACUGGGAGAGACUGGGCAACCGUGUCUCCCGACCGCUCAUCGGCGAUCGGCGUGGGGCUGGCCGGGCGCGCACACCAAGGUUGGUGGCAAGUAUGUCGGCAUUCCACCCGACCCGUCUUGAAA
rnacentral:rRNA from 1 species